CACCUGGUUGAUCCUGCCAGUGGUAUAUGCUUGUCUCAAGGACUAAGCCAUGCAAGUGUAAGUAUGAGGAAGAUUAUACAACGAAACUGCGAAUGGCUCGGUAAAACAGCAAUAAUUUCUUCGAUGCUAUUUACUUUACGGAUAACCGUAGUAAUUCUAGAGCUAAUACGUACUUGUGGGACUUUUUUUUCGUCUUACAUGGUAUAAAUUAGAUACACAAGCCAACUUGUUGGUGAUUCAUAAUUUCUUUUCCGAUCUCCUUUUGGAGACGCAUCGUUCAAAUUUCUGACCUAUCAACUUUGGAUGGUAAGGUAGUGUCUUACCAUGGUUUUGACGGGUAACGGACCGUGGGUGCGGGGUUCCGGAGAGGGAGCCUGAGAAACGGCUACCACAUCCAAGGAAGGCAGCAGGCGCGUAACUUACCCAAUCCGAAAUCCGGGAGGUAGUGACAAGAAAUAUCAAUAGAGGACCCAAUGGGUCUUCUAAUUGGAAUGAGAACAAGGUAAACAUCUUAUCGAGGAUCCAGCAGAGGGCAAGUCUGGUGCCAGCAGCCGCGGUAAUUCCAGCUCUGUAAGCGUAUACCAAAGUUGUUGCAGUUAAAACGCUCGUAGUCGAACCUUGGCGGGUUGUUUUGCGUCAUCCUCACGGAUGGCUGUGAAUCGUCCGCCUUUGUGGAGGGGGGUGCAGCGGUUCUUCACUGAAUUACUGCAUUUCCGCCACCGUCUACUGUGAAAAAAUUAGAGUGUUCAAAGCAGGCAAUGGCCGUGAAUACAUUAGCAUGGAAUAAUAGAAUAGGACCUGUGUUCUAUUUUGUUGGUUUGUUAGAAACGGGUAAUGAUUAAGAGGGAUGGUUGGGGGCAUUUGUAUUUCAGCGCUAGAGGUGAAAUUCUUGGAUUGUUGGAAGACAAACUGCUGCGAAAGCGUCUGCCAAGGACAUUUUCAUUGAUCAAGAACGAAAGUAAGGGGAUCGAAGACGAUCAGAUACCGUCGUAGUCUUUACUAUAAACGAUGAGGACUGGAGAUCGGGCGGGGCUGUUUUUGGCCCGUUCGGCAUCCCCCUGGGAAACCAAAGUGUUUGCUUUCUGGGGGGAGUAUGGUCGCAAGGCUGAAACUUAAAGGAAUUGACGGGAGGGCAUCACUGGGUGUGGAGCCUGCGGCUUAAUUUGACUCAACACGGGGAAACUUACCAGGUCCGGACAUAGUGAGGAUUGACAGAUUGAGAGCUCUUUCUUGAUUCUAUGGUUGGUGGUGCAUGGCCGUUCUUAGUUGGUGGAGUAGUCUGUCUGGUUAAUUCCGUUAACGAGCGAGACCUGGGCGUGUUAGCUAGAAAUCACUACACUUUUGCGGUAGUGAUCCUUCUUCCUAAACGGACUGCGGCCAUGUAGGCCGCGGAAGCUCUAGGCAAUAACAGGUCUGAGAUGCCCUUAGAUGUUCUGGGCCGCACGCGUGCUACACUGAGCGGAUCAACGGGUGAGGAUGCGCGAAAGCGUUUCCUAACCUCUAAAUCCGCUCGUGAUGGGGAUUGAGGCUUGCAAUUUUCCCUCAUGAACGAGGAAUACCUUGUAGGCACGGGUCAUCAUCCCGUGCCGAAUACGUCCCUGCCCUUUGUACACACCGCCCGUCGCUCCUACCGAUUGAGUGGUCCGGUGAGGCCUUGGGAGGGCUAGAUGGUUUGUCUUUACAGACUGUCUGGUCUAAACUUGGUCAAACCUUAUCACUUAGAGGAAGGAGAAGUCGUAACAAGGUUUCCGUAGGUGAACCUGCAGAAGGAUCAAGCU
rnacentral:rRNA from 1 species